GGUGAACGCUGGCGGCGUGCCUAAUACAUGCAAGUCGAGCGAACAGACGAGGAGCUUGCUCCUCUGACGUUAGCGGCGGACGGGUGAGUAACACGUGGAUAACCUACCUAUAAGACUGGGAUAACUUCGGGAAACCGGAGCUAAUACCGGAUAAUAUAUUGAACCGCAUGGUUCAAUAGUGAAAGACGGUUUUGCUGUCACUUAUAGAUGGAUCCGCGCCGCAUUAGCUAGUUGGUAAGGUAACGGCUUACCGAGGCAACGAUGCGUAGCCGACCUGAGAGGGUGGUGGGCCACACGGGAACUGAGUACGGGUCCGGAGUCCGGCGGGAGGCAGCAGUAGGGGAGCUUCCGCAAUGGGUGAAAGCCUUACAGAGCAACGCAGGGGGAGUAAAAGAGGUCUUCGGAUAGUAAAACUCUGUUAUGAGGGAAGAACAAAAUUGCAAGUAACGAUGCACGUCUUGACGGUACCUAAUCAGAAAGCCGCGGCUAACUACAUG
rnacentral:rRNA from 1 species